CAAUAGCGUAUAUUUAAGUUGCUGCAGUUAAAAAGCUCGUAGUUGGAUUUCGGGUGGGAAUGGCCGGUCCGCCGUUUCGGUGUGCACUUGCUACGCCCACCUUGCUGCCGGGGACGUGCUCUUGAGUUCACGCUCGGGACACGGAGUCGGCGAGGUUACUUUGAGUAAAUUCGAGUGUUCAAAGCAGGCCUACGCUCUGAAUACAUUAGCAUGGAAUAACACGAUAGGACUCUGGCCUAUCUUGUUGGUCUGUAGGACCGGAGUAAUGAUUAAGAGGGACAGUCGGGGGCAUUCGUAUUUCAUUGUCAGAGGUGAAAUUCUUGGAUUUAUGAAAGACGAACUACUGCGAAAGCAUUUGCCAAGGAUGUUUUCAUUAA
rnacentral:rRNA from 1 species